UACGUAGGGUGCGAGCGUUAAUCGGAAUUACUGGGCGUAAAGCGUGCGCAGGCGGUUUUGUAAGCCAGAUGUGAAAUCCCCGGGCUUAACCUGGGAAUGGCAUUUGGGACUGCAAGGCUGGAGUGUGGCAGAGGAGGAUGGAAUUCCGCGUGUAGCAGUGAAAUGCGUAGAUAUGCGGAGGAACACCGAUGGCGAAGGCAAUCCCCUGGGCCUGCACUGACGCUCAUGCACGAAAGCGUGGGGAGCAAACAGG
rnacentral:rRNA from 1 species